ensembl:lncRNA
AUGAUUUGUGUUCAGUCUGUUUUAGGUCUGUUUGCUGAGAGAGAGAAAAUCCAGAAUGAGAUCCACAACCUGGAGGAAGUCCUGGGACAACACAGCCCUAUCAGCGUCUCGGGUACCUGUCUUGUCUCUCUGUCCUAUCAGCGUCUCGGGUACCUGUCUUGUCUCUCUGUCCUAUCAGCGUCUCGGGUACCUGUCUUGUCUCUCUGUCCUAUCAGCGUCUCGGGUACCUGUCUGUCUCUUAGUCCUAUCAGCGUCUCGGGUACCUGUCUUCUCUCUCUGUCCUAUCAGCGUCUCGGGUACCUGUCUGUCUCUCUGUCCUAUCUGCGUCUCGGGUACCUGUCUGUCUCUCUGUCCUAUCAGCCUCUCAGGUACCUGUCUUGUCUGUCUCUUAGUCCUAUCAGCGUCUCGGGUACCUGUCUUGUCUGUCUCUUAGUCCUAUCAGCGUCUCGGGUACCUGUCUUGUCUCUCUGUCCUAUCAGCGUCUCGGGUACCUGUCUGUCUCUCUGUCCUAUCAGCGUCUCGGGUACCUGUCUUGUCUGUCUCUUAGUCCUAUCAGCGUCUCGGGUACCUGUCUGUCUCUCUGUCCUAGCUGCGUCUCUGGUACCUGUCUUGUCUGUCUCUUAGUCCUAUCAGCGUCUCGGGUACCUCAACAUCAUAUAUUCUUGUCUGUUGUUUUUUUCGUCAGAUGACGAGGACAGCAGCAGCAGUGAGGAGGUCAGUGAUGUCUUCACAUCAUCUACAGAGAGACGAGUCAGUGUAAUACUAACGGUGUCUGUACCCGUCUGUCUCUCUGUACCCGUCUGUCUGUACUUGACUGUGUUCAGAGUGAGCUGGGUCUGUCUCCGUCAACGGAUUCGUGUCUUCAGAUGAACCUCGUCUACCAGCAAGUGGUUCAAGAGACGCUAGACCAGUUGGAGACACUUCUGACACACAACCACAGACAACAGGUCAGCACUGACACAUCACAUUACAUUACAUCACAUCACAUUACAUCACAUUACAUUACACUAC